rnacentral:rRNA from 1 species
CGCAAUGCACGAAAGUGUGACGGGGCUACCCCGAGUGCCGCCCGCUGAGGAUGGCUUUUCCCCGGUGUAAGGAGCCGGGGGAAUAAGGAGAGGGCAAGUCUGGUGUCAGCCGCCGCGGUAAUACCAGCUCUCCGAGUGGUAGGGAUGCUUAUUGGGCUUAAAGCGUCCGUAGCUGGCUCUCCAAGUCUCUCGUUAAAUCCAGCGAUUCAAUCGUUGGACUGCGGGAGAUACUGUUGAGCUGGGGGGCGGGAGAAGCCGACGGUAUUUCCGGUGUAGGGGUAAAAUCCUAUAAUCCCGGGAGGACCACCAGUGGCGUAGGCGGUCGGCUAGCACGCGCCCGACGGUGAGGGACGAAAGCUGGGGGAGCAAACCGGAUUAGAUACCCGGAUAGUCCCAGCUGUAAACGAUGCGGGCUAGGUGUUGGAGCGGUCACGAGCCGCUUCAGUGCCGCAGGGAAGCCAUUAAGCCCGCCGCCUGGGGAGUACGGCCGCAAGGCUGAAACUUAAAGGAAUUGGCGGGGGAGCACCACAAGGGGUGAAGCUUGCGGUUUAAUUGGAGUCAACGCCGGGAACCUUACCGGGGGCGACAG